rnacentral:rRNA from 1 species
AGUGGGGGAUAACGUAGCGAAAGUUACGCUAAUACCGCAUAUGCCCUGAGGGGGAAAGGAGGGGAUCGCAAGACCUUUCGCUUUCGGAGUGGCCGAUAUCAGAUUAGCUAGUUGGUGGGGUAAAGGCCCACCAAGGCGACGAUCUGUAGCGGGUCUGAGAGGAUGAUCCGCCACACUGGGACUGAGACACGGCCCAGACUCCUACGGGAGGCAGCAGUGGGGAAUUUUGGACAAUGGGGGCAACCCUGAUCCAGCCAUGCCGCGUGAGUGAAGAAGGCCUUCGGGUUGUAAAGCUCUUUCAGCCGGAAAGAAAUCGCACCGAUUAAUACUCGGUGUGGAUGACGGUACCGGAAGAAGAAGCACCGGCUAACUACGUGCCAGCAGCCGCGGUAAUACGUAGGGUGCGAGCGUUAAUCGGAAUUACUGGGCGUAAAGCGUGCGCAGGCGGUUUUGUAAGACAGGCGUGAAAUCCCCGGGCUUAACCUGGGAACUGCGUUUGUGACUGCAAGGCUAGAGUGUGGCAGAGGGGGGUAGAAUUCCG